UGCACCACGUAUCACAGAAAAAGUAAUAUACAUCAUCUGUCGACUCUACACAUCUAAGACCAACAAGUCAUGGUCAAAAAGUUCACGCAAAACUUGAUCUAUCACAUGGAUUUAAAUUAAAAUGAGAUACAAAGCAUCUUCUUCCCUCUACUUCCGAGUAGCUGUAUUGUAGAACAUCCUGUCAUUUCGAACGAUAAAACAUUAGAAACAUACAAAAUAUAAUGGAGACAUAUGGCAGUUUUACAUUAAGCAGUAAACAUAAGCAAGAUAGAAAGGCUUGUUUGCUCCUAUAGAAAGUUGAGAAAUUGUAAGAUUAGUCCUAUGUAAGCUACUAACACUUUUCGCAAAAGAAGCUAAGACGAACAAGUGGAGAGUUGUGAAUCAUGUAUCUUUAUCGCAAAAUAAAACGAACAUCGACAACACGGGCAGCACAACAUAAAGCUCAUGAUCAACCAAAACUAAACUGAUCAUUGCAAACUAUAAGAGGGACGUUGACCUUCAGACAAAACAACACAGGAACAUGUAAGAGUAAGCAUAGCAAACAAUACUACAUCUAUGUUAAUCUUAACAUAAUUCAUCAAUUUGAAUUUAAGGAGUAACUACAAGACUCGAUGCUUGCCACAAUAUAUAACCUUCACUCUUGACACAAACGACAUGACCUCAUGUAAUUUUUACUUUCUGUAGUUUGUUCCUGCAGAAACAUAGUUUAUGUUAUGCUUUACAUGUAAAUUUUUUGGACAUUACAGAAAACAGAAUCGAGUUAUAUAUAUUUGAUAUGGUAUGCUAAUGCAUACUUCCAACUCAUAGAGGACGCACAUACGCGACAAAUUUCAAGCAAGCAGGAGGCAUUAUUUCUGUACAAGAUCUAUGCUAAGAAACAAUAUUUCCAUUUAUGCAAAUCAAAGGAAUGGAAAUUACACAUCAAUAAGCAAUACGUAUCCUUUAUGUUGUUAACAGACUAUCUAACAUUGUGGCAAUCAAAUCACUCUAGUGCUUGAGACGGGCUAGAUAUGUCACUUUCUUUGAUAAUAACCAGCAACUCACAAGUGAAACAAUUCAUCGGGUGAAAUAUUUAAGCAGGUCAAUUAAUUACCAGAUGAUUGCAGCUCCUACACUGCCUAAGUAGACCACUCUUAUAAGACAUAUUAGUAAGACUAGUCGGCAACCCGUGCAGUUGCACGAGCAAGUUAUUUUUAAACUUGUAACUGCGAAGAGAAAUCAGGAUCACAGAACUGAUACAGUAUUCUAUGAAACUAAAUUCGAUUAUGAAAAAGUUGUCAAAAUAGAAAAACUUACAAAUACGUUGCAGUCAAAUAUCCUCUUGCAUCAUAUCUUCCCUGAAUCCAGCAACCAAUAUUAGUUAUUUCUCUAAACUAAGAGAUUAAGGGUUUUGCAGGAAUAUAAUUUUUGAAAGAUAUCUGUGAUGAACGAAUAAUUUAAAUAGUAGUUUGAGGAACAAUUUUGUUCUUUUCGUCAUGCAUCCAAAUGCGUGUAUUUUUUAUCAGAUAAUGAAAUAAAAAAACUUUUAUCUACAAAAUAGGUGUGAGUAAGGAUAAAUGCCAUCACGUUUUGUAAUUUCUAGAAAUAACAGUCUAAAAUAGACAUAAGAAAAGAGACGCAAUGCCUAGUAACUUCUAUCGGUUGGCCGCUUUCUAGGUUGGCCGAGUGAUGUUGAUUAUUCCUGCCAUAAAAGGUAAUUAGUAGUUGUGGAGUGAUUAUGGAGAAUUAAAAAGCUAUAUAUUACCUAGUGGCUAGGCAUAUAAUGCUUACGUUUUCUUUUGAACUAAUGUUUACAUUUUUAUUGAGGUGUACUAUGCUAUUUGCCGGACAAAAGAGGUAACCACAAAAGGAUAUUAGGAAAGAGGCUAGAAACGGGUAUUGUUCAGGAUGUUGGGAAGAACUGAUCCUUAUAGAAUUAGAAGAGCAUGAUGAAGUGACCUUGGAAGGAUUCCUGAUGAACAAAUAUACCGCUCUUUUUAUUAAAUUAUUGUGAUGGAAGCUUGGGACAUUGUAGAAAACCUAACAUAUGAGAUAAGACUAUCGAUUCUGCUGAAAAAAUAUAUGCUAAACGUGUAGGCUUAUUACGUACUAAAAGAUCCCAUGAGGCACACAUCCUAGUGUUCAAGCGAGUUUUUUUUCUUCUGGCUUUCUUCAAAUGUGGCAUGUGGAUGUCAUAGUGAAGUACUCAUGCUGCAUGCUGCGAGUUUACAUGGAAGAAGAUGAACUCAAUUCUAGUGAUCCACAAUAUGCAAGACUGCUAGCUUAUAUCUUGAAGACUUGAAUAAUCGCCUAAUUUACUACGGAUGAAAUAGACAGCUAGGCUGGCAACAAUCUGUGGCGUCAAUAGCUAAAAUCAAGCUUAAACUAAAUACAUUAAUUAGUCGAUUCAAACCAUACCAACAUACUCACCUGAAAAUAUAUUCCGUUUCAUCUCGAAUUCAGGUUUGACACAAAGUGCACGGAGAGGAGUCUGUCUUCUCGCGUGCACACGAUGAGGCUAGCUCCACGCCUGAGCACGGAGAGGAGUCCGUCUUCUCGCGCGAACACAGCUGCAAUGUUGUUACACAACAUGGCGUAUCGAAGAUACAAAACUUAGGUACAGUGCAUUAUCAGAACUUCUAUAAAAAUAACAACUCCUAGGAGCAAUGUACAAAACAUCUCAUGCACAACAGCAAAUUACACAGAACCGACAAUCUUAGGAGUUAGGACACAGGGACAACAUGAACACCUAUUUGCCAGUGUUUUUCUUAAAAAAAUCUAGCACUUAUGAGCCAAAUCGUUGCAGGUAGCACUGAUCUCUAUCAUAACUGAAGAAAUUUCACCAACUACGCAAUGAGCGUCCGCAGAUCGACACAGGUAGCCUGUCGAUAUCGAUUUAUAAAAGCAUAAAUUUUGGAGAUCUUGUGGGACAGUAAGUUGGUGCUCACCGAGGAUGGUGUUUGAU
rnacentral:lncRNA from 1 species